UCCUUGUCAAAGUCAGCUAACUAUGGAAUUCCUUGAGCCUGAAAUGUGAGGAAAUGAGGGUGGUGAGAUUAUAAAAUUCCAGUGAGUAAACAGACACCAUCUAAACUAUCUAAAGGCGAGUAAAUAGAGACGAAUUAAAAUAUUCUUUUCCAAUAUAUGCUUCAUAACAUGAAUAUUCAGUUUACUCAAUUAAUCAACAUGGCUUAUAUACCUCACAAAACUUGGCUUCUGUCAAAAUCAUUCUCACGGGUACCUUCGUCAAGGUAUCCCACUAAGACCGCCAAGGCUGUUAAAUGUCCCAUACCCAUAAACAUGUUUUCACAUCUGACACACAACCAUUCCUUGGCGUUGGCUGAGUCUCACUCUCACGCUGUGGUCCACGUGAAGUGCACUCAAAUCUUUACCUCAAGAGAUACUUCAUCCAAUAUCUCUCCUUAGAGGUAAAUAUAUAAUUGGGUUACCGUGCCCUUCUCAUAGGUAGUCCACGGAAACCCCCACCAUUGCAGUGACUAUGGAUUAUUUUAUUUACCACCUGAUUUAUAAAAUCCUUAUCUACAUGACAUGGUAAUUUAUCGCAAUCUUACCUCUCAAGGCUAAAUACAUAGUAUAUAUAAUUUUGAUACAAAUACCGACUUUGCCAUUCAUGCUCACAUAUUACUAUAAGCCAUAUAAUUUAAAACACAAUUUAUAACACACGCAGGCAGUCUCCAAUUACUCUAUUUUCAAAACCAGUAUUCCACUUUCUAGAAAAUUUACAAAAUCAUUUUAUAAAAUCACAAUUUCUCCUAAAACAUAACAAUUUACCAUUUAAACUCAUUUUCUAUAAAAUCACAUAAUUGUAUAAAACUACUCUAGAUAAUUAAGACGAUAAUAAGUUUACUCACAGUUCUAGGAGUCGAUGUUCUCCUAAUCCCAAUCUUCAAGCACAAUCUCUGUACUUUUACCAGUGUAAUUUACUCACCACCUAUCCACAAUGUACAAUACAUAAUUCACCACAUUAAUGCUUGACCAUUAUAAAAUCAAUUCAGGCUCGGUGUAUAUGCAUGAUAUGAUAUGCAACUUAUCCGACUACCGCUUAAAUGCUGUGCUGACCUAAUUCGGCCUAUUACCCGAUUAAAUGACAAUUGUGUCCGAUUUGGCUCCAAAUUGCUCCAUUUCAUUUCUAAUACCUCAAUUCACCAAACAUUAUUUAAAUAACACCAAUUUCAGCAUCAAAACCUUCCCAUUUCUUCAUGGAAAAAUUCAGCCAUUAUAGUGCACUAACACCGUGAUUUUUCCUACUUAAUUUUCUCACCAUUAUUCAUCAUUUUCUAAGCCAUUUCUCUUGAAAUAAUAACAAUCUAUCACCCACACACAUCAAGGAAGAUUCGGCCAAUGAAGAUUCUUGGGGAAAAUGGAUUCUUUUCUUAUUGUUUUGCUUCUAAAUAUGCUAAACUAACUAAAAACACUAACAUAUCUUAAAAUCAAUUCAAUCCAACAUCUUUCUCUCUCCUUACCCAUUUUGACCAGCCAUGAAUUCAUCGUGAAAACAUGUAAUUUAACCAUGAAAAUUAAGGGACAAUGCAUGGGUAAGGUAAAUCACUAGCAAAAUAAAAAAAAAUUUACCUUUGUUUGAUCAAAUCCUUGAAUUCCAACACUUUAUGUUUGAUUUUUCUCACCUAGGGUUUGUUCUUCCUUGGUUUCUUUUCUCUUCUGAUUUGGCUGAUCACUAUGGGAGAAAUGGGUUGAUUUUUUGCCUUUUUAUAAAGAAAUAAUAAAAUAAUAAAAGCAUGACACAUGACAUUUUCUUAUUGGUUCAAAUUUUAAAUAUUUGACUUUUAAUUUUUUAAUUCUCCACCACACAUUUCUCAUGUUUAUCCAUUUCCAUGAUGAAUAAAAUCCCUUGGUCUUGACAAGUGUCAGGGAUGAAAAUUUAUCGAUUUGCCCUCGGGGUGGUAAAAUUACCAUUUCACCCCUAUACUCCAAAUUAUAUCAAAAAUUAAAAUUUUUUUCACUUCUAAACCUCAAAUCAUACUCCAAUAAGUCAAAUGGGGCUAAAAAAUUUUUUUUCUAAAAUUUUCAUUUUAUCCCCAGGUGGCAAAUGACCAUUUUGCCCCUAGAUAGUGAAAAUUCCGGUUUAACUCCAAAUUGAUCCUCAAACUCCAAAUCACUAUUUUAAAUCAUUCAUGGACUGUGAAACUCUUAAUUUCACCUUAAAAUUCUUAUUUGAACUAGUUCGAGGCUUAAUCGACUUAAUGAUACUAUUAGGAGCAAUAUCGUCUUUUAACGAUUCCUCGAACUUCUUAAAUAUGCAAACAUUCUAUUGAGCAUAUAAAUGACGUCGUAAUUAUUUUAUAGAACAGAGUUUGAUAAAUAUACUAAAUAUAAGUUAUCAUUGGAGUUGUACACUUUAAAGGGGAAUCUAAAAGGGUUCGAUUUAUUUAAAUAUACAAGUGUAUUUAUCUUAAACAUAUGAGGAGGUUAGUGGGAGCGAAUUUGAUUCUUUGAUGAUACAAUAGCAUAGGAUGCAAUGUGUAUAUAAAGAAACUACAAAAUUUUAAGGAGCGGAUGGCAUAACAUGAAGUGACAUAAGCAUAUAAUGUAUAUAGCAUAGUCCAGUUUGAAUGGUUUCAAAGAGCAAAAACGACUAUAUAUGUAUAUAAAUAAAGUCAUAUACAUCUUAUUGUAAAAGGCUCCGACAGGAAGAUAUUUAGAUCAUUAGUUCAUUGAACUAAUAAAGGGUUCUAAACAUUGUUAAUGUAAUAAUGGAGCCACACUAAAAGAACCUAAGUCCAUUGGAUCUAAAUAUAAUAAUAUGAUAAGAUGUUUGGAUAUCACAUAAACGAAUAACAAAAAGCAAUUAACCACAUUGAACAACACAAAUGAGUCUCAUAGAAGACAUGAUUGCUAAGUGGAUUGGAUCCAUAUACGAUAAGGUAACAAUUAGUUUUGUGCUAGUGAGAAAAUGUUGGAGUGAGCCCUACAGCCAAUUAAGAUUGGUCAAGACUUAGUUCCAAACAUGCAAUCAUAUAAUUCAUAUUGAAUGAUUAGAGGUUUUUAUUCAUCAAUAAGGCAUCAAUUAUAAAGGUUAUAAGUCUAUUUGAUGAAAUCCAUGAGAUUAAUAUACCUUGUAAGGGAAUUAUAAUAGGUUACAAUUAUGAGAUCCUUAUACAUCAAAGGAUAAUCUAUAAAUGUUCUUGGUCGAUGUAUCAUUGAGACUAAACAUUAAUGAUGCUCAGAGACUAGUGUAUUUUAUGUUCCUUACUAGGAAAGUAAGCAACCGAUCUCAUAGGUUAAAGUAUAGAGAUACUUGGAGUUAGAAUGUAGGUGCUUGUUCCAUGAGUAAGUUCACUGGACAUGACCCAACAUAAGAAAUGCAUUUGGUAUCUCACUCUAGUGUUUAUGCAAAUAUUUCUCAUGUGUUAGUUGUGUAAAUACCCAUUAGACUUAAGACACCAAGUUGUCUUUUAUAUGGUGUGCUACAUAUUUGAUCAUAUCCCUAUGGGUAUUACCAAGGAUGCCAAAAUAGGAUAUGGUUGGUUGUAGCAUGAAGCAUGUGAAGGAAAAAUAAGUGGUCAAGAAAUGAAUCAUCACCUAAGUGAGUUAGGGGAAAUUCUAAUACUUCUUGGUUGAUACUACCUUGUUGAAGUCCUUUGCCAAAGUGACUUGGAGAUUAUGGAAAAGAGUUUCAUAAGUCUCUAUAAAGCUAAUUAUCUAACUUUAAAAACGAAUAUGGAAAUUAAUAAGAGUAGACACUACACCAUACUCUUAUCUUUUCUAGGAUAUAUGAUGAGGAAAUGAAUUAUACUGAUAGACUAUACACUAAAAAGUUGUCAAAGAAUCCUUUGACUCUCCUAAUAAUUGAAUGGCCAUGAUGCAUUGUUAGACGUCAAUCUUGAUCUAUGAAAUUGACUUAAUUAAUUUAAUAAAAAUUAUAAUUCAAUUCCAUUGCUAAUAUAUUAGGAACCUAAGGAGUCACACACAAUAAGUUACAUUAUGAAUUAAAUUGGAAGUGUGAUGAUUUAAGUUGGACUUAAAUUAUACACUAGGUUUUCAACUUCUAAGGACUUAAUUAAAAUAUUUUAAUUAAGUAUAAGGUCAAUAUUAUAAUUAGUUAUAAUAUUAAAGCCUUAAUUGAAAACAAAUAAAGCAAAUUAAUUUUAAUUUUAAUUUACAAUGACUUAAUUAAAAAGGUUUAAUUACGUGUUGGGCUAAUAUUAUAAAUGGUUAUAAUAUUGAGGCUUUAUUUGCAAUUUAAGAAGUUAGUCAAUCUAGAUAUAAAUAUCACUUUUCAGCUAUUCCUCAAAAAACAAGUGAAACACACAAGUUAGGUUUUUUGAGUCACUAGAAAACUAAUAAGAAAAGCCUAGCCAUACGCUUUCUUGAGUAACUUGGAAAAAUAGUUUUCCAACUUUAUGAUUCGGCUAGGAAGAGUGUGAUUGUGUGGAGAAGACAAGUUAUUGUCCACCUUGUUAGCACAAAGGCAUAGUUGAGAAAGCUUUCUCCUUGUGAAGGUUCAAGUGCAAUCAUGUGUGUAAUCAUUGAAGGCCAAGCCUUUGAUUGGCUCAAGUUCUUUACUCCCUUUGUGGUGUUCACGGGUUGGAUAAGGAAAAAGUACCAUCAUGAUAGUCACAUCACUUGGUCAAGGUAAUCUUAUAUUUUCUAAUUAUUCCUCUCUUCUGGUUUUGUCUAUAUUAAAACUACCAAGGAGAUCGAUGGUAGGUGCGGCAUGUUUUUGUUCUUCAUUUAGAAUUUUUUUUGUUUCAUUCUACUGCGUUGAAUUUGAUCAUGAUGUUCCCAACAAUAUAUCUGAAGCCUAUUCUUAUAUUUUAAAAUUAUUUAUUGGAGUAUGAAAAAUUUUGAAUAUAGCCAUAUAGUUAUCAAACCUUGGUGAGUUGGUAACUAAGAUACAUUAAUUGGGAGUGACUAGACGGGUGAUUUGUGUAGGCUUCAAAUAUAUGUUGUUGCUUCCCCCAUUGUAAUUUAGCUCUUGUUGUGAAAUUAUGAAAUUGUUGCUGCCCCAAUAUUGUAGGUUUCUUUAUCAAUAUGUGAAAUUGUGGUUGUUGUUUGUGUGAAAUUGUUGUUAUUAUUUAAAUGUUGUUUUGAACAAUCUAUUGCUGUUUUGAAUAAUCUUUUUUGGUGAAAAAUCUGAGAAUAAUUUAAAUAAUUAUUAGUAAUUAUGCAAAAUAAAUUAGGGUUUAGUUUUUAAGCAAAUGGAAAAAUGUUUUAGUUAAUUAAGCAUAUAACUAAAUUAGUAAUAAGAUUUAAUUUAAAAUAUAUUUAAAUUAAUUAAGGUGUUAAUGAGUUAAUUAAAUAAUUUAGUUAAUAAAGAAUCAUAUAAUGUAUUAUACGUAAUUAAGAAAUUAAUUAACAAAAUAAUAUUAGAUAAUAUUUUAUUUAUUUAAAUUAAUUAAUGGUUUAGGGAAGUAGUUACAUAAUUUAACUAAUUAUGAAUAAUUAUGUAUGGGUAAUUAAGCAAUUAACUAAAUUAGUAAUAUUAUAUCAUUUUUCAAAUAUUUAAAUAAAUUAAGAUGUUAAUUAAUGAGUUAAUUAAAUAAUUUAUUUAAUUAAGUAAUGUAAUGUGUUAUAAGUAAUUAAGCAAAUACAUGUGUUAUAAGUUAGAUUUUGUGGUCCAUUGAUAUUUGUGUUAACAUCUGCUAAUGUAUAAUUUAAUUAUAUAAUUAGAUUUAAGGUUUAGUUAUAUAAAUUAGUUAACUAAAUUAGUAAUAUUAUAUCAUGUUAAAAAUAUUUAGGGUGAUUAAAUUAAGGUAUUAAUGAGUUAAUUAAAUAAUUUAUUUAGGGUGUUUAGGGAUUAGGGUUUAGUGUUAUAAGUAAUUAAGUAAUUAAUUAAAUAAAUAAUAUUAUAUAAUAUUAUAUUUAUUUGAUGUAUUCUUUUGAUCUCUGAUAUAUUAAAGUUCUAUAAGACAAAGAAGCCGUCACGUGAAUUGGUUUCUAACUAAAAAUUUUGUGGUGCGUAUGAGGUAAAAUUUUUUUUUCUCAAAUUAAAACUUAGAUUAACAAUCUAAGUUUUGACUUUAAUAUUAGAGAAGUAGUGGUCUGCAAAAGUUAAAACUAUGGCUUUCUACAAUGGUCAAAGAGAACAUCAUAGCAAUCUGAUUAACUUUAUGUCCAAAAAACCUCAUUUUUUCAAGGUAAUUUAAAGGAUUGCUAUUGAUUAUGAAAAAUUGUUAUGUAAUCUUUUUGCAAUUAUAAACUAUAAUUUUGAAUGUGAAUUUAAUGUAUUCUAUAUGAAAGAUGUUCUUGGCAUACAACAGACUUUAAAAUCACAUUCAAAUUAUGGUUUAUAAUUGGAAAAAGAUCUCUCACUAGUUUUACAUAAUCUUUAGCGUUCCUUAGAAUUAUCUUGAAAAAAUGGAGUUUUCUAGACGUAAAGUUGAGGCUGCGAUGAUCUCUUUAGCCACUGUAGAACGCCAUAGCUUUAACUUUUGCAAAACAAUUCUCCAAUAUUAAAGUCAAAAUUUAUAUUGUUAAUCUAAGUUUUAAAUUGAGAAAAAAAAUAAUUUACCGAUGAAAAUUUUUGUCAUCAAUUUCGACGAAAAUACUGAUGAAAUUAUCCCAUUACUGACUACAAAUCGACCGACGGAUUGGAUCCAUUACCAAUUAAUUGCUGAUGGAAUAUUCAAUGGGUAAAUUACCGAUGGAAUAUUUUGUCACCAACGGAUUUCCCAUUACCAACUUAUGCUAUUUCCAAUGAAAUUUUAAGGAAAAUUUCAUCAGUAAUGCUUUAUUUUUUUGUAGUGUAUACACUCAUUUAAUGAUAUAAUUAUCAAUAAUAUGGUAAUUUAGUUGAACUAUACCUCUGUAAUUGGUUGAAAUCAUGAUUAAGAAACUAAAUUUUCUAAAGGCCAAGAAUUUUAAAAUUUUCAAAUCAAGAACAUUGUGAUUUUAUGUAAUCUUUAUAAAACUACCUUGAGAUAAUUGUUUCUUGAUAACUAAAGAUUGUUAUUACUUAGUUCAAUUGAGCACCAAUUCCAAGAUUCAACCAAGUAUCCAUUUCAAUGGAAUUUCUAAUAGUCUAAGUUCAAGCCAAAGGUUUCUCAACCAAAGGAGUAGUGCCAUGACCCCCACUACUUAGGGCAACAAGCGAUGUGCCUCAACACACAUCUAGUACCAUAGCACUUGCUAGAUAAGAAUAACAAGUAUGUGAUUUACUCGUUGCAAAUGUCUAGCACUAGAACCCCUGCUAGAUGGGAAAACAAGCCAUGUGUGACAGCACACGUCUAGCACCAUAGCCCUUAUUAGAUAGGAAUGACAAGCAUGUGACUUAUCUACAACACAUGUCUAGCACGAUAGCCCCUAUUAGAUAGGAAUGACGAGCGAUGUGCCCCAACACAUGUCUAGCACCAUAGCGUUGCUAUAUAGGGUCAAUAAGCAUGUGACUUAUCUACUGCACAUGUCUAGCACCAUGGCCCCUAAUAGAUACGGUCAACAAGCAUAUGUCUCACCAUUGCACAUGUCAAACACCACGCCUUGCUAGAUGGGCCUCACAAGCAUGUGUCUCGCCAUUGCACAUGUUUAGCACCAUGCCUUGCUAAAUGGGCCUCACAUACCAUUUAUACCUCUUCACUUGAUAGCUAAAUUUCACAAUCAACCAACCUCGUCCAAGUUUGUAUAUACCAACAUCAAUGCCAACUUAUUCUUUCACAAUACAAUUCAACCACCAUGUGGCUCUCAUGUCAAUACCAUAAAAAACCAUUUUCAAUAAAUCAUGCAAGGGCUUGUUCCCUCUGCAAAUUUCAAUACUAUAUAGUAUAGUCAUUCAUAUACUAUAUAGCAUAGCAUUCAUAUACAUAUAUAGAUGCCGUAGUAUCAAAACGUGUUCCCAGCAAUAAUUUCAUCACAAAGUUUGGUUUAGAACACAACAUUUAAAUCAAUUUGAGUGAGCAUGUAAACCAUCCUUCAUGCACAUUUGUUAGCAAAAUAGUUUGAUGCAAUUGACUUAGCUCAAGUGCUUUCUUCCUACUCUAACAAGUAAACCAAUGCACCUUGGUUCAAAUUGUUCCUUGGAGCUUCAAAGGAACGUAAAACAACAAUAGCUCACUAAGAUUAUUCGUAACUUCUUAAUUCGAAAUUAGUCAAGUAAGCUACGAAUUUCACAUUGCAAUGCCAAUAACCUUCAACUAUCAUUCCACAAGCUCAACAAUGUCAAAAUAUCAAGUCCUUACCUUGGUAAGCAAUUAACAGUAGCUUUCCACCAAUUUCCUUAGCCUAGAGAGAGAGACCAAGCUGUAACCAUAAAGAGAAAAAAUUAUAAACCAAUUAAACCGAAGCUAACAGUGCAAGGAAGCCUAAACUCACUUUGGUUUCCAAUUCUAGAGUUCCAAGGAGUGAGUG
rnacentral:lncRNA from 1 species